rnacentral:lncRNA from 1 species
GUUGGGGUGGACGGGGGGGGGGUGUGCCUCGAUUGGGGUCUGAGCCCCAAAUUGGGGGCUGCGCCCCGAUUGGGGUCUGUGGGACGUGGUGGGGUCUGAGCCCCGAAUUGGGGUCUGAGCCCCGAACUGGGGGCUGUGCCCCAAUAGGGGACUGUGAGACACAGUGGGGUCUGCGCCCCAAAUUAGGACCUGAGCCCCGAAUUAGGGUCUGCGAGCCACAGUGGGGUCUGUGCCCCAAUAGGGGUCUGCGCCCCAAAUUAGGGCCUGUACCUCAGUAGGGGUCUAUACCUCAAAUUAGGGUCCGUGCACCAAAUUAGGGUCUGCGAGCCACAGUGGGGUCUGUGCCCCAAUAGGGGUCUGCACCCCAUUUUGGGGUCUGCACCCCACUGUGGGGUCUUCCUCCCUAUUGGGGUCUGCACCCCAUUUUGGGGUCUGCACCCCACUGUGGGGUCUGUCUUCCUAUUGGAGUCUGCACCCCUAUUAGGGUCUGCACCCCAUUUUGGGGUCUGCACCCCAUUUUGAGGUCUGCACACCACUUUGGGGUCUGCCUCCCUAUCGGGAUCUGCACCCCACUUUGGGGUCUGCACCCCAUUUUGGGGUCUGCCUCACUAUUAGGAUCUGCACCGCAUUUUAGGGUCUGCACCCCCUAUUGGGGUCUGCACCCCACUUUGGGAUCUGCACCCCAUUUUGAGGUCUGCACCCCAUUUUGAGGUCUGCACCCCACUUUGGGAUCUGCACCCCACUUCGGGGUCUGCACCCCACUUCGGGGUCUGCACCCCAUUUUGGGGUGUGCCUUCCUAUUGGAGUCUGCACCCCUAUUAGGGUCUGCACCCCAUUUUGGGGUCUGCACCCCAUUUUGAGGCCUGUACCCUAUUUUGAGGUCUGCACACCACUUUGGGGUCUGCCUCCCUAUCGGGAUCUGCACCCCACUUUGGGGUCUGCACUCCGUUUUGGGGUCUGCACCCUAUUUUGGGGUCUGCACCCCACUUCGGGGUCUCCACUCCCAAUUGGGGUCAUUCCCCCCCCCCCCGUGACUCUGCGCCCCCAUUGCCGUGUUCUUGGGGCCGCUCAGAGCCUUGGGGGGGUGUUCCGGGGGGGGGGGGUUGCAUUUGGGGUGCUGACCCCCCCCGGCAGGGGUCUGCCUGCAGAGCUGGGGGGCCGAGGGGCUCCCCGCGCCCGUGGUCAUCCUGCCCUUCAUGAAGCACGGCGACCUGCACAGCUUCCUGCUCUACUCCCGCCUGGGGGACAGCCCC